AGUCUUUCAUAGAUUAUGUUGCAGUGGAACAGCUGGAUGGAGAUAAUAAAUAUGAUGCGGGAGAACAUGGUUUGCAGGAGGCAGAAAAAGGGGUCAAGUUCCUAACGUUGCCACCUGUACUACACCUACAGCUCAUGCGCUUCAUGUACGAUCCCCAGACGGACCAGAACAUCAAGAUAAAUGAUAGGUUUGAAUUUCCAGAUCAGUUGCCUCUGGAUGAAUUCUUGCAAAAAACUGAUCCUAAAGAUGCUGCAAAUUAUAUUCUUCACGCAGUGCUUGUACACAGUGGUGAUAACCAUGGGGGGCAUUAUGUUGUUUACUUGAACCCGAAAGGGGAU